rnacentral:rRNA from 1 species
UACAGAGGGUGCAAGCGUUAAUCGGAAUUACUGGGCGUAAAGCGUGCGUAGUCGGUUAUUUAAGUCGGGGCGUGAAAGCCCCGGGCUCAACCUGGGAAUUGCGUUCGAUACUGGAUAGCUAGAGUUCGGCAGAGGGAAGCGGAAUUUCGGGUGUAGCGGUGAAAUGCGUAGAUAUCCGAAGGAACAUCAGUGGCGAAAGCGGCUUCCUGGACCAGAACUGACGAUCAGGCACGAAAGCGUGGGGAGCAAACAGG